rnacentral:rRNA from 1 species
CACGUAGGGCGCAAGCGUUGUCCGGAAUUAUUGGGCGUAAAGAGCUCGUAGGCGGUCUGUUGCGUCCGCUGUGAAAACUCGGGGCUUAACCCCGAGCCUGCAGUGGAUACGGGCAGACUAGAGGUAGGUAGGGGAGAAUGGAAUUCCCGGUGUAGCGGUGAAAUGCGCAGAUAUCGGGAGGAACACCGGUGGCGAAGGCGGUUCUCUGGGCCUUACCUGACGCUGAGAAGCGAAAGCGUGGGGAGCGAACAGG